AGAGUAAUGUCUGGGAAACUGCCUGAUGGAGGGGGAUAACUACUGGAAACGGUAGCUAAUACCGCAUAACGUCGCAAGACCAAAGAGGGGGACCUUCGGGCCUCUUGCCAUCAGAUGUGCCCAGAUGGGAUUAGCUAGUAGGUGGGGUAAUGGCUCACCUAGGCGACGAUCCCUAGCUGGUCUGAGAGGAUGACCAGCCACACUGGAACUGAGACACGGUCCAGACUCCUACGGGAGGCAGCAGUGGGGAAUAUUGCACAAUGGGCGCAAGCCUGAUGCAGCCAUGCCGCGUGUGUGAAGAAGGCCUUCGGGUUGUAAAGCACUUUCAGCGAGGAGGAAGGUGGUGAGCUUAAUACGCUCAUCAAUUGACGUUACUCGCAGAAGAAGCACCGGCUAACUCCGUGCCAGCAGCCGCGGUAAUACGGAGGGUGCAAGCGUUAAUCGGAAUUACUGGGCGUAAAGCGCACGCAGGCGGUUUGUUAAGUCAGAUGUGAAAUCCCCGGG
rnacentral:rRNA from 1 species